CCGCCUUGAAGAAACUGUAGCUAACCACCUUAUUAGUAUUCUUGCCUCCACCGUGUCUCACUUGCAGCAUCAGAGGGCUGAGCGAAAUGCAGUGGAACAGGGACAGACAGAGCUCUGGCAAUCAUCUCUAUGCAGCCUGCCGAGUGUUGGGGGUGGGGGAUGCAGCACAUCAAGAUUAAUAACCUUGCCAUAAUCCGGGGCACCCUGCAAGCAGACACCUCUGCUGACUGACCGUGCCGGGCUCGCUGAACCAGCCUUGGGGGAGAGGGAUCCGGAAAUCUACCUAGUCCUGGGGGCCCCCCCGAUGUUGGAUGUUCUUUUGAUCCUACACCGAUCUGGGAAGGUAACAGGGAGCCCUGCCAUCUGCAGCACACAGAAGCUAUUGGAGAAGAAGGAGAGACGCGCAAGACAAGCUAAAGGAUUCUAACAUUUCCUUGGUGAACUUUGAGGGUCCACACAGAAGCUAUUAAAGGGCUCAGUCAUAUCUACCCAACUCAACUUUCAUAGACACGUAUAUUAUAAUGAUGAUGAGGAGGAUCUUAGCCAUACAGAUCGUAAGAAAAAUGAAUCGAGCCAGCAGACAAAAAGACCUAGAUCAAAUGACCCAAGAGAUGGACUUCUACCCUUUCUAGAGAAGCAAUUUUUCUAUGUUACAGUUUACACGUGUCGUUACAUUUUUACCCCGAUUUAUACCCAGCUUUUUACCGUUUCUAAUUCCACUUAACUUUCCUAUGUUAUUCCUUGAUACUUACACCACAAAAUAUUGACAGCCUGUCUUCACUUAGGCAAGCAGUGCACAUAUAGCUUCCUUAAGCUCACCUGAUCAAAGCCUGGUCAUCACGUAAUGAAGAUACACAGCACUCCUCUAGGGGAAGAGCAAGAAGCUUUUCAAAAAAAUGUCAAG